AAAAAGAUAAGCUAAAAAAAGCUUAUGGGUUCAUACCCCAUCUAUAAAGGAUAAACCUUUUCUUUUUA
rnacentral:tRNA from 1 species